rnacentral:rRNA from 1 species
UACGUAGGUGGCUAGCGUUGUCCGGAUUUACUGGGCGUAAAGAGCGCGCAGGCGGUCGUUCAAGUCGCGUGUGAAAGCCCCCGGCUCAACUGGGGAGGGUCACGCGAUACUGAUCGACUCGAAGGCAGGAGAGGGAAGUGGAAUUCCCGGUGUAGUGGUGAAAUGCGUAGAUAUCGGGAGGAACACCAGUGGCGAAGGCGACUUCCUGGCCUGUUCUUGACGCUGAGGCGCGAAAGCUAGGGGAGCAAACGGG